GGAUGUGAGGGCGAUCUGGCUGCGACAUCUGUCACCUCAUUGAUCGCCAGGGUUGAUUCAGCUGAUCUAGCUGGCUAGGCAGGUGUCCCCUUCCUCCCUCACCACUCUGUACACGUCCCUCCAGAAGCUGUGUGCUCAGUUGAAGAAGAAGGCUUUCCCAGAAUAGAGAUGGACCUGUCUUAGGUCGAGGGUAUAUGAGUAGCUGCGCUCCCCUGCUAGAACCUCCAAACAAGCUCUCAAGGAAACUGAUUAUUGACAAUUCAAGAAUAGAUUUACUUUAAUAUAAUUUUCUGGGAUGCUCUUUCUUU
rnacentral:snRNA from 13 species